GCUGCUAAUUGUUCAGCUUCUCUUUUAGGAUUGGCUCCUGUUCCUAUCCAUAAUAUAAUUAAAACAAACGAGGGAAAGGUCCUCCCCUUUCACAUCGACAGAGCUUGGGUGUUUUUCCUUGCCUGAAAUCAGUUGUGCCUUCCUUGCCAAUCCAGUUGGGUUUGUUUGGAAUGUAGUCCCCCUGAUAUACAAUCAAGUAUUCAGGCAUUCAUCGGCUUUAAGGUCAGUCACUUCUACUUAACUGUCUUGUGGAUCGUGCAGGAAGGAAGGAAGGCCCUUGUGUGAUGACUGCAUUGCUUCCAGUAUGGGUGCUGUGUCACCAAGGCCUCCGUUCCUCUCUGGUCUAGUGUUGGAACAUCAGGAUUGUUAAAGAAUCGCUGGAAAUCUUCCUGAGAGGAAUCAAUUUGUGCCUGGUUUCUUUCUGAGAGAGGAUAAAAUACAUCAUUAAAUUCUUCUCCUACAAACCUGGGAUGUGGAUAGAUCAUGUCAAUUAGAGCAGAAAAAACUUCAUGAAAGAGGUCCAGAGUCCCUAUUAGGUGCAUAUAUAUUUACUAAUAUCAUAGGUUGCCCUGCCAGUUCCAGAUGUUUUCAAAAUCUGGAAUAAUAUUUCUGUGCCAGUUACACAAUCUGAUCUAUUAAAAUCUGAUUUUGGCCAUUACUAUGGACAAA